UACGGAGGGGGCGAGCGUUAUUCGGAAUUAUUGGGCGUAAAGGGCGCGUAGGCGGCUUGAUGUGUCAAAGGUGAAAUCCCUCGGCUCAACUGAGGAACUGCCUUUGAAACUGUCUGGCUUGAGGCCGGGAGAGGGUAGCGGAAUUCCCAGUGUAGCGGUGAAAUGCGUAGAUAUUCGCAAGAACACCAGUGGCGAAGGCGGCUCACUGGCCCGGUACUGACGCUGAGGUGCGAAAGCGUGGGGAGCAAACAGG
rnacentral:rRNA from 1 species